rnacentral:rRNA from 1 species
CUGAAGCUCCAGCUUGCUGGGGUGGAUGAGUGGCGAACGGGUGAGUAAUACGUGAGUAACCUGCCCUUGACUCUGGGAUAAGCCUGGGAAACCGGGUCUAAUACUGGAUACGACGUCCUGCCGCAUGGUGGGGCGUGGAAAGGGUUUUACUGGUUUUGGAUGGGCUCACGGCCUAUCAGCUUGUUGGUGGGGUAAUGGCCUACCAAGGCGACGACGGGUAGCCGGCCUGAGAGGGUGACCGGCCACACUGGGACUGAGACACGGCCCAGACUCCUACGGGAGGCAGCAGUGGGGAAUAUUGCACAAUGGGCGCAAGCCUGAUGCAGCGACGCCGCGUGAGGGAUGACGGCCUUCGGGUUGUAAACCUCUUUCAGCAGGGAAGAAGCCACAAGUGACGGUACCUGCAGAAGAAGCGCCGGCUAACUACGUGCCAGCAGCCGCGGUAAUACGUAGGGCGCAAGCGUUGUCCGGAAUUAUUGGGCGUAAAGAGCUCGUAGGCGGUUUGUCGCGUCUGCUGUGAAAGCCCGGGGCUCAACCCCGGGUCUGCAGUGGGUACGGGCAGACUAGAGUGCAGUAGGGGAGACUGGAAUUCCUGGUGUAGCGGUGAAAUGCGCAGAUAUCAGGAGGAACACCGAUGGCGAAGGCAGGUCUCUGGGCUGUUACUGACGCUGAGGAGCGAAAGCAUGGGGAGCGAACAGGAUUAGAUACCCUGGUAGUCCAUGCCGUAAACGUUGGGCACUAGGUGUGGGGGGACAUUCCACG